GCCGGGGUGGCGGAACAGGCAGACGCACAGGACUUAAAAUCCUGCGAAGGUUAAACUUCGUAUCGGUUCGAUUCCGAUCCUCGGCACCA
rnacentral:tRNA from 2 species